rnacentral:rRNA from 1 species
CCACACAUUCAAAGAGUGCGUAAUAGCUCACUAGUCGAGAGGUCCUGCGCCGAAAAUGUCCGGGGCUAAAACACAACACCGAAGCUUAGGAAUCAUAUUCAUAUGAUUGGUAGAGGAGCAUUCUAUACGGAGCGAAGCAGUACCGGCAAGGAGCUGUGGACUGUAUAGAAGAGAGAAUGCCGGAAUGAGUAGCGAGAUGGAGGUGGGAAUCCUCCAGGCCGAAUAUCUAAGGUUUCCAGAGUAAAGCUGAUCUGCUCUGGGUAAGUCGGGGCCUAAGGCGAGGCUGAAAAGCGUAGUCGAUGGACAACAGGUUGAAAUUCCUGUACUGCAUAUCAUCAGAACUGUGGGGACACAGAACCGAAGUCAAACCCGGGAAUGAAAAGACCGGGGCAAGCGUAGGACUGGUUAGGCUGGCAAAUCCGCUUAACAACAGGAGGACGUGACGCGUAGCGAACAUUAGUAGCGAAGUUGGCGUAGGGGCUGUCAAGAAAAGCCGCUAUUGUGUGAUAUGUACCCGUACCGUAAACCGACACAGGUGGAUGAGGAGAGAAUCCUAAGGCCGGCGGGAGAAGCAUUGUUAAGGAACUCGGCAAAAUGACCCUGUAACUUCGGGAUAAAGGGUGCCCACGAGAGUGGGCCGCAGAGAAUAGGCUCAAGCAACUGUUUAGCAAAAACACAGGUCUAUGCAAAACCGUAAGGUGAGGUAUAUGGGCUGACGCCUGCCCGGUGCUGGAAGGUUACGAGGAGAGGUUAGCGCAAGCGAAGCUUUGAAUCUAAGCCCCAGUAAACGGCGGCC